UAUACUCGAAAUCUGAAGUCUUAGCGCAAAGUAACUCUAGACCCUAAGACCACAAUGUCAGGAUCUUUAACAGAUAUUCAUGGAAAAGGAAAAAGAAGCGCGUCCAGGCAAUAAUGACAAGAAAGUAAAGAAGAGCAGAGUAUUUGAGAGGUAAGGAAAGGCCAGAAAGGGAAAGAGGCCGAUAGAAUUCAAGAAAUGAGGAAUGACAAAAAGAUGAAAGGGAGUUAUGAAGGCAUCUGUACGCGAACAGACGCGGUCAUAAUGGUUCUCGAUAUUCGCCCCCUCGGCAGUCAAAACAAUAACUACCGAGAAGGCGAAGGGGCAAUUGAUGACCGCUAGAUCCCUUCAUCCCGGCCCAGGGCCUCGACCACAACCUAAAGCCCACAAAGUAAAGGCCCAU
rnacentral:lncRNA from 1 species